AGUCAAAAUUUCUAUUUCAAGGUCAUUUGGGAUGAAUUGAAAGAACUGUAUAACAAUGUCAUGGAGAUAAGUUUAGUCGGUCAGGAUGGGAAUAGAACAGGGAUUGUUUAUAUUGAAUGUCCAAGGGAAGCUGACAAAGAGAAAGUCUUUGAAGUAAACCAAGGGAAAAAAUGAACGGGUACUUUGGUUUUAAGUAACCUCUCCUAUACUGCAGCAGAGGAAAUAUUUUGGGAAGUUUUUGAGAAAACAACUUUUAUUAAAGUGUCCCAGAACCCAACUGGUAAAUCUAAAGGGUAUGCAUUCAUAGGAUAUGCUCCAUUUGAAGAUGUGAAAGAAGCUUUAAACUUCUGCAAUGAAAGGGAAAUUGAGGGUAGAAUAAUCAAGUUGGAGUACCAAUCUAAAGCUUGAUUAUUUGCCAUGGGAGAUAGAGAAACUGCUGGAAAGAAAGUUACUUUGGACUGGACAAAGCCUAAGGCUAAAGAUGGCUCUAGGGGU
rnacentral:lncRNA from 1 species